rnacentral:rRNA from 1 species
AGAGUGAACGCUGGCGGCAGGCCUAACACAUGCAAGUCGAGCGGCAGCACAGUCGUAGCAAUACGAUGGGUGGCGAGCGGCGGACGGGUGAGGAAUGCAUCGGAAUCUACCUUGUUGUGGGGGAUAACGUAGGGAAACUUACGCUAAUACCGCAUGAGACCGUAAGGUGAAAGCGGGGGACCUGUGAGGCCUCGCGCGACAAGAUGAGCCGAUGCCGGAUUAGCUAGUUGGUGGGUAAAGGCCCACCAAGGCGACGAUCCGUAGCUGGUCUGAGAGGAUGAUCAGCCACACUGGAACUGAGACACGGUCCAGACUCCUACGGGA